rnacentral:rRNA from 1 species
CCUACGGGAGGCAGCAGUGGGGGAUAUUGCACAAUGGGGGGAACCCUGAUGCAGCGACGCCGCGUGGGUGAAGGAGCGUUUCGGAGCGUAAAGCCCUAUCGGCAGGGAAGAAGAUGACGGUACCUGACCAAGAAGCCCCGGCUAACUACGUGCCAGCAGCCGCGGGAAUACGCAGGGGGCAAGCGUUAUCCGGAUUUACUGGGGGUAAAGGGGGCGCAGACGGCAAUGCAAGCCAGGAGUGAAAGCCCGGGGCCCAACCCCGGGACUGCUUUUGGAACUGCAUGGCUGGAGUACAGGAGGGGCAGGCGGAAGUUCUAGUGUAGCGGUGAAAUGCGUAGAUAUUAGGAGGAACCCCGGUGGCGAAGGCCGCCUGCUGGACUGUGACUGACGUUGAGGCCCGAAGGCGUGGGGAGCAAACAGGAUUAGAUACCCUUGUAGUC